rnacentral:lncRNA from 1 species
UUGUAAAGAUUUUAUUAUACAUACCAGUGCUUUGUCUGCUCAAGAUACUUAUUUUACUAAAUGUUAUUGUUUAUAAUAUUAUGUGAGUGCCAUAUUGUCAGUCUUGCAAAAGUUGUUUUCAUCAUUUAAUAGAUAUAGGAAGAUUAUGAGACAACUCUCCAUCAAAAUAACAAUUUAUAAAAGUAAACCAUUAUAGGUCAAUGUACGGCCUUCAACACCGGAGCCUUGGCUCACACCGAACAAUAAGCUAAAAAUACCCCCAAAUUAAUAGUGCAAAACCAUUCAAAACCUUUAUAUGAGUUAUUUUAAUUCCCUAAAUAUUUUUAAUGUGUUUUAAGAGUGCUUUUAAACAUAAAGAAUAUAGCUUUCAAAUUGUGUAUAAAUAUUCAAGUAAGAAAUUAUCUGGUCUCUUUCUACAAAUGUUGAUUGGAUAUCUUCAAAGUCCCCCCCCCCCCCUUUUCCCCAUUUUUAUCUGCCUUCUAUUCUGAUACAAUCAAAAGUGUUUAGUUCAUUUAGAGGCUUGAAUAGCUUGUUUAAAUUUUUAACCAAAACCUGUAAUGAGUAAUUUUGUUUACAGCUUCAGCUGUUGAAACUAAAAUGUCUGAGAUGAAAACCCAAUAAAUUUAAGGAUUAAUCAUCUGGAGCAAAUAUUUUUACUUGAGCAAUUCUGCUUAUUACGUUUACUAUAGAAAUAGGGAGAUGUGGUAUGAUUGUGGACAACUAUCCUCCAGAAUUGUUAAAUUGUCUGUGGAUAAAUUAGGAUUAAGUGAAUCACAAUAAUAACUGCCGCAGAUGAGAUAGUGUACACAUGUGCUUUCAUUGUCAAUACAUAACAUAUGCUCCAUUACACAAAUAUGCAGUGUACAUGGUGUACACAAAUGCUUCAUUGUCAAUACGAUAUAUGCUCACCGAAAUAUGUACACAGUGUACAAAAGAUUUCAUUAAUAUUACAAAUACUUGCCACACAAGUACUUCAUUGUCACAAUAUAUGUAUGCAGUAUACAUGAGUGCUUUCAUUGUCAUUAGGGUUAUGCAAUUAAAAUAGAUGUUAGAGGAUAGUUCAGGCACUUCGAAAAUACCACCACAACAAACCAACACAUUACAGGUGUGUAGUUUCCCAUAUCUCAAACAGUCAUCAAGGACCCUUUUCCAGAAGUAAUUGCCCCAUCCUACCAUCCCACAUCUGUUUUAAUGUAAUAGCACUAACAUAUUACAUGUGUUGAUUAUUUGUUAUAAUGGUUGUUAUGUUCAAUAUGUUGUUUCAUUCACAUUCUGUUAUAUAUAGUAGUUUUUAAUGAUUUCAUUUCAAAUCCCAGUUUUUUCUUGAAACAAUUAUCAAAGAAAAGCAUCAGAUAAAGUUAUAUAGUUAUAUAAAUUUGGAC